CUACGGGGUGCACCAGUAGGGAAUCUUAGACAAUGGGGGAAACCCUGAUCUAGCCAUGCCGCGUGAGUGAUGAAGGCCUUAGGGUUGUAAAGCUCUUUCGCUGGGGAAGAUAAUGACGGUACCCAGUAAGGAAACCCCGGCUAACUCCGUGCCAGCAGCCGCGGUAAUACGGAGGGGGUUAGCGUUGUUCGGAAUUACUGGGCGUAAAGCGCGCGUAGGCGGGCUAUUAAGUCAGGGGUGAAAUCCCGGGGCUCAACCCCGGAACUGCCUUUGAUACUGGUAGUCUUGAGUUCGAGAGAGGUGAGUGGAAUUCCGAGUGUAGAGGUGAAAUUCGUAGAUAUUCGGAGGAACAUCAGUGGCGAAGGCGACUCACUGGCUCGAUACUGACGCUGAGGUGCGAAAGUGUGGGGAGCAAACAGGAUUAGAUACCCCAGUAGUC
rnacentral:rRNA from 1 species